rnacentral:lncRNA from 1 species
AUGAACUUGUCCUAUCACUUCCAUAUGCACACCAUGGCACACACACUCAAAUACUAUACACACACAGUCAUUACACAUGCAACCAUGGCACACACACUCACAUGCUAUACACACACACACAGUCUUAACAAAUGCAACCAUGACACACACAUACUCACUUACUACAGAUACACAGUCAUAACACAUGCAACCAUGGCACACAUACUCACAUACUACACACACACAGUCAUAACACAUGCAACCAUGGCACACAUACUCAC